AAUCUCGUGCCAGCCACCGCGGUUAUACGAGAAACUCAUAUUAAUAUUUACGGCCAAAAGGGUAGUUUGAGAUAUAAUUAAAAUAGGAUUUAAAACUCAUCUAAUAGUUAUAUAUAAAUAUGAAAUGUAAGCUCAAAAACGAAAGUUAUACUAUGUUCUUGAAUCUACUACAGUUGAAAGACAAACUAGGAUUAGAUACCCUACUAUGUUCAACCUUAAAAUGGACCCUCCCGUCAGAGUACUACGAGCCACAGCUUAAAACUCAAAGGACUUGGCGGUGCCCUACACCCACCUAGAGGAGCCUGUUCUAUAAUCGAUACUCCCCGAUAAACCUCACCACUUCUAGCUAAUACAGCCUAUAUACCACCGCCAUCAGUUUACCUCUUAAAAGAAUAAUAGUGAACAAAACAAUUUAAAAUAAAAAAGUCAGGUCAAGGUGCAGCAAAUGAAAUGGGAAGAAAUGGGCUACAUUUUUUAAUUAUAAAAACACGGAAUAUUAUAUGAAAUAGAAUAUAAAGGAGGAUUUAGAAGUAAAAAGAAAAAAGAGUGUUCUUUUUAACUCGGCAAUAGAGCACGCACACACCGCCCGUCACCCUCUCCAAAAAUAAAAUAAAUUAAAUAAAUAUAUAAUCUUAUAAGGAGAGGUAAGUCGUAACAUGGUAAGUCUACCGGAAGGUGGCCUUGGAUAU
rnacentral:rRNA from 1 species